rnacentral:rRNA from 1 species
AUGAACGCUAGCGACAGGCCUAACACAUGCAAGUCAGGGGCAGCACAAGGAGCAAUCUGAGGUGGCGACCGGCGCACGGGUGAGUAACACGUAUGCAACCUGCCUGUAAGCGGGGAAUAACCCGUUGAAAGAACGGACUAAUACCGCAUAAUACUAAAUUACUGCAUGGUGAUUUAUUUAAACAUUUAUGGCUUACAGAUGGGCAUGCGCAUGAUUAGCUAGUUGGAGAGGUAACGGCUCCCCAAGGCAACGAUCAUUAGGGGUUCUGAGAGGAAGGUCCCCCACACUGGUACUGAGACACGGACCAGACUCCUACGGGAGGCAGCAGUGAGGAAUAUUGGUCAAUGGACGAGAGUCUGAACCAGCCAAGUCGCGUGCAGGAAGAAUGUCCCUAUGGAUUGUAAACUGCUUUUGCAGGGGAAUAAAGUGCAUCACGUGUGAUGUUUUGUAUGUACUCUGCGAAUAAGGAUCGGCUAACUCCGUGCCAGCCGCUGC